UGGGGAAUAUUGGACAAUGGGGGCAACCCUGAUCCAGCAAUGCCGCGUGUGUGAAGAAGGUCUUCGGAUUGUAAAGCACUUUCGACGGGGACGAUGAUGACGGUACCCGUAGAAGAAGCCCCGGCUAACUUCGUGCCAGCAGCCGCGGUAAUACGAAGGGGGCUAGCGUUGCUCGGAAUGACUGGGCGUAAAGGGCGUGUAGGCGGUUUACACAGUCAGAUGUGAAAUCCCCGGGCUUAACCUGGGAGCUGCAUUUGAUACGUGUAGACUAGAGUGUGAGAGAGGGUUGUGGAAUUCCCAGUGUAGAGGUGAAAUUCGUAGAUAUUGGGAAGAACACCGGUGGCGAAGGCGGCAACCUGGCUCAUGACUGACGCUGAGGCGCGAAAGCGUGGGGAGCAAACAGGAUUAGGAUACCCUGGUAGUCCACGCUGUAAACGAUGUGUGCUAGAUGUUGGGUAACUUUGUUAUUCAGUGUCGCAGUUAACGCGUUAAGCACACCG
rnacentral:rRNA from 1 species